rnacentral:rRNA from 1 species
ACGUUAGCGGCGGACGGGUGAGUAACACGUGGGUAACCUACCUAUAAGACUGGGAUAACUUCGGGAAACCGGAAAAGCUAAUACCGGAUAAUAUUUCGAACCGCAUGGUUCGAUAGUGAAAGGUGGUUUUGCUAUCACUUAUAGAUGGACCCGCGCCGUAUUAGCUAGUUGGUAAGGUAACGGCUUACCAAGGCGACGAUACGUAGCCGACCUGAGAGGGUGAUCGGCCACACUGAACUGAGACACGGUCCAGACUCCUACGGGAGGCAGCAGCA